CGCAGAAAGAUUCCGGCCGCCGCGGCGUUCCGGGCGCGCCCAGGUGUGUAGCCCUGAGCGGUGGGCGGGCCGCGGCGGGGCUGGGCCCCCGGGACGGGCGCCCCAAGAAGCUCUGCGCCGAGAUCCCGAGCCCUGGGUGGUCCGCAGACUUAUUCCACCGCCUCCGGGGAAUGGGAAGGGAAGCAAGGAGGUGAGGCGCCAUCUGUGCUUGAAUGCCUGGUGGAGCGCCACCAGGUAACCGGAAGCCACUGAGGUUUUCGUGGAGUCUGACUGGAGUGGAAAAAUAUCCUCGGGUGAGAAUUAAAAAAAAAGAAAGAAAAGAAAAGAUGAGUGCCAUGUGAAGAUGGAGCCAAAAACUGAAGUGAUGCACAUACAAACCAAGGAAGGCCAAGGUUAGCCAGCAAGGUCAUCACAGGUAGGAGAGAGGCGUGGAACAGAUUCACUCUCAGAAGGAACCAACCCUGCCAACACCUUUACUUUGACUUCCAGCCUCCAGAGCUGUGAGAGAAUAAAUUCCUGUUGUUUUAAGCCA